GAUGAACGCUAGCUACAGGCUUAACACAUGCAAGUCGAGCGGCAGCGGUAUCGAAAGCUUGCUUUCGCUAGCCGGCGACCGGCGCACGGGUGAGUAACACGUAUCCCACCUGCCUCAUACACGGGAAUAACCCUGCGACAGAUAGCUUAAUGCCCGGUCUUCUCAGUGUCCGGCAUUGGGCUUUGACCGAAGAUUUAUCGGUAUGAGAUGGCGAUGCGUCUCAUUAGCUUGUUGGCGGGGUAACGGCCCUCCAAGGCAUCGAUGGGUAGGGGUUCUGAGAGGAAGGUCCCUCACAUGGGAACUGAGACACGGUCCAAACUCCUACGGGAGGCAGCAGUGAGGAAUAUUGGUCAAUGGGCGGAAGCCUGAACCAGCCAAGUAGCGUGCAGGAAGACGGCCCUCCGGGUUGUAAACUGCUUUUAGUUGGGAAUAAAACGGGGCGCGUGAGCCCCCUUGCAUGUACCAUCAGAAAAAGGACCGGCUAAUUCCGUG
rnacentral:rRNA from 1 species